rnacentral:rRNA from 1 species
UACAGAGGGUGCGAGCGUUAAUCGGAAUGACUGGGCGUAAAGGGUGUGUAGGUGGUUUAAUAAGUUAGGUGUGAAAGUCCUGGGCUUAACCUGGGGAUGUCGCUUAAGACUGUUAAGCUAGAGUACUGGAGAGGGAGGUGGAAUUUCCGGUGUAGCAGUGAAAUGCGUAGAUAUCGGAAGGAACAUCAGUGGCGAAGGCGACUUUCUGGACAGAUACUGACACUGAGACACGAGAGCGUGGGGAGCAAACAGG